rnacentral:rRNA from 1 species
AUUGAACGCUGGCGGCAGGCCUAACACAUGCCAGUCGAGCGAGCGGCGGACGGGUGAGUAAUGUAUGGGGACUGCCCGAUAGAGGGGGAUAACUACUGGAAACGGUGUCUAAUACCGCAUACUAUCGGAUAACCAAUAUGGGAUUAGCUAGUAGGUGGGGUAAAGGCCCACCUAGGCGACGAUCUCUAGCUGGUAUGAGAGGCGGAGCAGCCACACUGGGGCUGGGACAGGGCCCAGCCCCCUACGGAGGCAGCAGUGGGGACUAUUGCACAGGGGGCGCAAGCCUGAUGCAGCCAUGCCGCGUGUAUGAAGAAGGCCUUAGGGUUGUAAAGUACUUUCAGCGGGGAGGGGUUACCCGCAGAAGAAGCACCGGCUAACUCCGUGCCAGCCGCCGCGUAAUAC